AACGAACGCUGGCGGCAUGCCUAACACAUGCAAGUCGAACGAGACCUUCGGGUCUAGUGGCGCACGGGUGCGUAACGCGUGGGAACCUGCCUUUAGGUUCGGAAUAACUCAGAGAAAUUUGAGCUAAUACCGGAUAAUGUCUUCGGACCAAAGAUUUAUCGCCUUUAGAUGGGCCCGCGUUGGAUUAGCUAGUUGGUGGGGUAAAGGCCUACCAAGGCGACGAUCCAUAGCUGGUCUGAGAGGAUGAUCAGCCACACUGGGACUGAGACACGGCCCAGACUCCUACGGGAGGCAGCAGUGGGGAAUAUUGGGAC
rnacentral:rRNA from 1 species